UACGUAGGGUGCAAGCGCUAAUCGGAAUUACUGGGCGUAAAGCGUGCGCAGGCGGUGAUGUAAGACAGAUGUGAAAUCCCCGGGCUCAACCUGGGAACUGCAUUUGUGACUGCAUCGCUGGAGUACGGCAGAGGGGGAUGGAAUUCCGCGUGUAGCAGUGAAAUGCGUAGAUAUGCGGAGGAACACCGAUGGCGAAGGCAAUCCCCUGGGCCUGUACUGACGCUCAUGCACGAAAGCGUGGGGAGCAAACAGG
rnacentral:rRNA from 1 species